GACGAACGCUGGCGGCGUGCUUAACACAUGCAAGUCGAACGGUGAAGCGCCUUCCUUUUUGGUGGGUGUGGAUGAGUGGCGAACGGGUGAGUAACACGUGAGUAACCUGCCCCCUUCUUCUGGAUAACCGCAUGAAAGUGUGGCUAAUACGGGAUAUUCUGGGUCUGUCGCAUGAUGGGUCUGGGAAAGAUAUUGUUUCGGUGGGGGAUGGGCUCGCGGCCUAUCAGCUUGUUGGUGGGGUGAUGGCCUACCAAGGCGGUGACGGGUAGCCGGCCUGAGAGGGUGGACGGUCACACUGGGACUGAGACACGGCCCAGACUCCUACGGGAGGCAGCAGUGGGGAAUAGUGCACAAUGGGCGCAAGCCUGAUGCAGCGACGCCGCGUGAGGGAUGGAGGCCUGCGGGUUGUGAACCUCUUUCGCCAGUGAAGCAGGCCUGCCUCGUUUGUGGGUGGGUUGACGGUAGCUGGAUAAGAAGCGCCGGCUAACUACGUG
rnacentral:rRNA from 1 species